AGCGAACGCUGGCGGCAGGCCUAACACAUGCAAGUCGAACGAACUCUUCGGAGUUAGUGGCGGAAGGGUGAGUAACACGUGGGAACGUGCCUUUUGGUGCGGAAUAACUCAGGGAAACUUGUGCUAAUACCGAAUGUGCCCUUCGGGGGAAAGAUGUAUCGCCAUUAGAGCGGCCCGCGUCUGAUUAGCUAGUUGGUGAGGUAACGGCUCACCCAGGCGACGAUCAGUAGCUGGUCUGAGAGGAUGACCAGCCACACUGGGACUGAGACACGGCCCAGACUCCUACGGGAGGCAGCAGUGGGGAAUCUUGCGCAAGGGGCGAAAGCCUGACGCAGCCAUGCCGCGUGAAUGAUGAAGGUCUUAGGAUUGUAAAAUUCUUUCACCGGGGACGAUAAUGACGGUACCCGGAGAAGAAGCCCCGGCUAACUUCGUG
rnacentral:rRNA from 1 species